AUGCUGUGUACCAGACCUGAUGUGUGCCUUGCUAUAAGUUUAGCAGGGAGGUACCAAAGUAAUCGAGGAGUGGAUCACUCGACAGCGGUCAAGAACAUCCUGAAAUACCUGAAAAGGACUAAGGAUAUGUUUCUUGUUUAUGGAGGUGACAAAGAGCUCAUCGUAAAAGGUUACGUUGAUGCAAGCUUUGACACUGAUCCAGACGAUUCUAAAUCGCAAACCGGAUACGUGUUUACAUUGAACGGUGGAGCUGUCAGUUGGUGCAGUUCAAAACAAAGCGUUGUGGCGGGAUCUACAUGUGAAGCGGAGUACAUAGGUGCUUCGAAAGCAGCAAACGAAGGAGUCUGGAUGAAGGAGAUCAUAUCC
rnacentral:rRNA from 1 species